CCUACGGGUGGCAGCAGUGGGGGAUCUUGCACAAUGGGGGAAACCCUGAUGCAGCGACGCCGCGUGUGGGAAGACGGUCCUCUGAUUUGUAAACCACUGUCCCCAGGGACGACGAUGACGGUACCUGGGGAUGAACCUCCUGCUAACUACGUGCCAGCAGCCGCGGUAAUACGUAGGGAGCGAGCGUUGUCCGGAAUUACUGGGUGUAAAGGGAGCCGAGGCGGGGAUGCAAGUUGGGUGUCAAAACUACCGGCUCAACUGGUAGUCGCACUCAAAACUGCAGCUCUUGAGUGAAGUAGAGGCAGGCGGAAUUCCUAGUGUAGCGGUGAAAUGCGUAGAUAUUAGGAGGAACACCAGUGGCGAAGGCGGCCUGCUGGGCUUUUACUGACGCUGAGGCUCGAAAGUGUGGGGAGCAAACAGGAUUAGAUACCCCAGUAGUC
rnacentral:rRNA from 1 species